AUACGGAGGGUGCGAGCGUUAAUCGGAAUUACUGGGCGUAAAGCGCGCGUAGGCGGUUUGGUCAGUCGGAUGUGAAAGCCCUGGGCUCAACCUGGGAAUGGCAUUCGAUACUGCCUGACUAGAGUAUGGUAGAGGGAAGUGGAAUUUCCGGUGUAGCGGUGAAAUGCGUAGAUAUCGGAAGGAACACCAGUGGCGAAGGCGACUUCCUGGGCCAAUACUGACGCUGAGGUGCGAAAGCGUGGGGAGCAAACAGGAUUAGAUACCCCAGUAGUCC
rnacentral:rRNA from 1 species